rnacentral:rRNA from 1 species
CAGUAGCCGCGGUAAUACGAAGGGUGCAAGCGUUAAUCGGAAUUACUGGGCGUAAAGCGUGCGCAGGCGGUUAUAUAAGACAGAUGUGAAAUCCCCGGGCUCAACCUGGGAACUGCAUUUGUGACUGUAUAGCUAGAGUACGGCAGAGGGGGAUGGAAUUCCGCGUGUAGCAGUGAAAUGCGUAGAUAUGCGGAGGAACACCGAUGGCGAAGGCAAUCCCCUGGGCCUGUACUGACGCUCAUGCACGAAAGCGUGGGGAGCAAACAGGAUUAGAUACCCCGGUAGUCCCUGUCUCUUAUAU